rnacentral:rRNA from 1 species
UUGAACGCUGGCGGCAUGCCUUACACAUGCAAGUCGAACGGUAACAGGUCUUCGGAUGCUGACGAGUGGCGAACGGGUGAGUAAUACAUCGGAACGUGCCCGAUCGUGGGGGAUAACGCAGCGAAAGCUGUGCUAAUACCGCAUACGAUCUACGGAUGAAAGCGGGGGAUCGCAAGACCUCGCGCGGACGGAGCGGCCGAUGGCAGAUUAGGUAGUUGGUGGGAUAAAAGCUUACCAAGCCGACGAUCUGUAGCUGGUCUGAGAGGACGACCAGCCACACUGGGACUGAGACACGGCCCAGACUCCUACGGGAGGCAGCAGUGGGGAAUUUUGGACAAUGGGCGAAAGCCUGAUCCAGCCAUGCCGCGUGCAGGAUGAAGGCCUUCGGGUUGUAAACUGCUUUUGUACGGAACGAAAAGGCUCUGGUGAAUACCUGGGGCUCAUGACGGUACCGUAAGAAUAAGCACCGGCUAACUACGU